GCCACUGCUAUUGGGGUUCGGCUAAGCCAUGCGAGUGGAGGGCGUCCCGCAAGGGAUGGCCCCGCAGACGGCUCAGAAACACGUCGUCAACCCACCUUAGGGUGGGGGACAACCUCGGGAAACUGAGGAUAAUCCCCCAUAGGCGGGGGAGGCUAGAAUGCGCCCCCGCUGAAAGCUCAGGCGCCCUAGGACGGGACGGCGGCCUAUCAGGUAGUUGGUGGUGUGACG
rnacentral:rRNA from 1 species